rnacentral:tRNA from 1 species
GCGCACGUAGCUCAGUCGGAAUCAGAGCACUCGUUUACGAAUCGAGAGGUCGCAGGUUCAAGUCCUGCCGUGUGCACCA